rnacentral:rRNA from 1 species
GUAAGGUAGCAUAAUAACUCGCCUUUUUAUUGAAGGAUAGAAUAAACGGUCAAACGUAUAGGGCCUACUCUUAAAAUACAUACAAUAAUUUUUUUCAAAUGUAAAAAAACAUCUAUUAUCUAGAGGGACGAUAAGACCCUAAAAUCUGUCUAUAAAAAUAAAUCUUAGAAAUACACUGUAUAAGACUUGCUGGGGCGGCAAAUACUCCUAACAAACUAUAUCAUUACGCUUUUGGCGAAUUAUAACUAUCCUUUUGAGAAUAUAAAGAUACUUUAGGGAUAACAGCAUAACUUCUCUU